UGGGGAAUUUUGGACAAUGGGCGCAAGCCUGAUCCAGCAAUGCCGCGUGCGGGAAGAAGGCCCUCGGGUUGUAAACCGCUUUUGUCAGGGAAGAAAUCUUCUGAGUUAAUACCUCGGGAGGAUGACGGUACCUGAAGAAUAAGCACCGGCUAACUACGUGCCAGCAGCCGCGGUAAUACGUAGGGUGCAAGCGUUAAUCGGAAUUACUGGGCGUAAAGCGUGCGCAGGCGGUUUUGUAAGACAGAGGUGAAAUCCCCGGGCUCAACCUGGGAACUGCCUUUGUGACUGCAAGGCUUGAGUGCGGCAGAGGGGGGAUGGAAUUCCGCGUGUAGCAGUGAAAUGCGUAGAUAUGCGGAGGAACACCGAUGGCGAAGGCAAUCCCCUGGGCCUGCACUGACGCUCAUGCACGAAAGCGUGGGGAGCAAACAGGAUUAGAUACCCUGGUAGUCCACGCCCUAAAACGAUGUCAACUGGUUGUUGGGAAGGUUCCUUCUCAGUAACGUAGCUAACGCGUGAAGUUGACCGCCUGGGGAGUACGGCCGCAAGGUUGAAAGCUCAAA
rnacentral:rRNA from 1 species